GUGCGCAUACACGUGUGCCAUGGCUAAGGGUGCAGCGUGAAAGCACUGCUUGUUCUCUGAAAGGAGGAAUUCUUCCAGACAGCCACACUUGCCCCCUCCUCCGUGAGGCUGCUUUUCCCAUGGACUCGCAGGAGUCGCUCCGAGUCAUUUCCUUGCCCCGAAAGUUUGCUGGAGCAUCACGGUCAUCUGCAUGAUGCUUGUACAGGAGCUGACUCCCAACAGAAAGCUGAAAAAGGAAGAAGCUCCAAAAAUAGACUGAAACUCAUCGAAGAGCUAAUGGUGAUGGAGAGAGUGAUAAGCAUUUAAAUUAGAUGACUCCCGCAUGCACAUUUUUAUGCUCUAAGAGGAAAAUAUUCCAUCAUGUUGUUAUAGAUACUUGCAAAAAAAGUUACUAUACACUAAAGCAAGACAAUCCAAGCAAAAUCC